CGCAAGAUUAAAACUCAAAUGAAUUGACGGGGGCCCGCACAAGCGGUGGAGCAUGUGGUUUAAUUCGAUGCAACGCGAAGAACCUUACCUACUCUUGACAUCCAGAGAACUUUCCAGAGAUGGAUUGGUGCCUUCGGGAACUCUGAGACAGGUGCUGCAUGGCUGUCGUCAGCUCGUGUUGUGAAAUGUUGGGUUAAGUCCCGCAACGAGCGCAACCCUUAUCCUUGUUUGCCAGCGAGUAAUGUCGGGAACUCCAGGGAGACUGCCGGUGAUAAACCGGAGGAAGGUGGGGACGACGUCAAGUCAUCAUGGCCCUUACGAGUAGGGCUACACACGUGCUACAAUGGCGCAUACAGAGGGCGGCCAACUUGCGAGAGUGAGCGAAUCCCAAAAAGUGCGUCGUAGUCCGGAUCGGAGUCUGCAACUCGACUCCGUGAAGUCGGAAUCGCUAGUAAUCGUGGAUCAGAAUGCCACGGUGAAUACGUUCCCGGGCCUUGUACACACCGCCCGUCACACCAUGGGAGUGGGCUGCAAAAGAAGUAGGUAGUUUAACCUUCGGGAGGACGCUUA
rnacentral:rRNA from 1 species